rnacentral:rRNA from 1 species
UACGGGGGGGGCAAGCGUUGUUCGGAAUUACUGGGCGUAAAGGGCUCGUAGGUGGCCAACUAAGUCAGACGUGAAAUCCCUCGGCUUAACCGGGGAACUGCGUCUGAUACUGGUUGGCUUGAAUCCGGGAGAGGGAUGUGGAAUUCCAGGUGUAGCGGUGAAAUGCGUAGAUAUCUGGGGGAACACCGGUGGCGAAGGCGGCAUCCUGGACCGGUAUUGACGCUGAGGAGCGAAAGCCAGGGGAGCAAACGGG